rnacentral:lncRNA from 1 species
AGCUGUAGCCGUGAUUCAACCCCUAGCCUCGGAACUUCCAUAUGCCACACAGGUGUGGCCCUAAAAAAGCAAAAAAAAAAAAAAAAACAAAAAAUAAACAGCAAAAAAGUGGCAGAAAUUGCUUAGAUACUUCAGGUUUGUAAAUCAAAUGGCUUUUGAGUUAUUUCCCCCAUUAAAUUAUCUAGGUUGCCUGUUUAACUGAGUAAAUUUAAUCACUCUAAAGAUGCAUAAAAAUUGGGGGGUGGGUAGACAUGACAGGUUUUGGAUCCUGGCUUUGCUGUUUAUGCAUAUGCGAUAUUUGGCAGGUUACUUGACCUUUAUGUGUUCUAUUAAAUGAGUAUAAGAACGAUAAUCUUAUGAGAAUUAGAAGUAAUAACCUGCAAAGGACCUUUUACCAGUGACUGCCACAUAGUAAACACUCAGUCAGCCUUAGUCCUCUUUGCAUCUUGUAUCUUUGAUGAUAUAUAUUUAGCAUAGAUUUUUAGAAGGCCUGAAUAUAGAUGGAAUUAUGCACAAACAAUUGACUGUCUACUCAGCAUUUUUCACAGUCAAUAUCUAACACUAGAAUGGAAAGAGUCAAGACUUGGAGCUUGGUUAAGUACAUGCCCUCAAAGCCCUAGGAAAGGGCUCUAUGAGGAAAUUAUAAGUUCCUCCCCUGUGCCUUUCAUAGUCUUUGUACUUUUCUACCUUGAAUUGCAGUUGUAUAUGUGCUUUAGUUAUCCCAUACUAAAAUAGAAGGUUCUUAAAGCCUGAAUCCAUGGCUUCAUCAUUUCUGCAUCCCUGAGUCCCCUCCUGGUAGCAACCUUGAGUUGAAAGCAUGAAGACCAAUGACAAAUGGAGCAAACUGGACAACUCUCCUGCCUUCUAACUUUUAGGUUUUCCUGAAUGAACAGCAGAGGAGAAUAGCACGUGGUAUUUGGUGGAAGAGACAACUCUGGAAGAAAAAUUGUUCUCCUUAUUUUAGGGAAAUUAUUGGGGGUGGUUUUUAAAGUAGAAUAUGGGGAUAUUAAAACAAAACAGAACAAAAAACCUUUCAAGUGAUUUUUAAAGAGCCAGGUGAAAUGAAACUCUGGAGAGUCAUUACUGUAGGAACUCCGAGAGUAGCACUGAAGGCCUCCUAUCCCAGGGAAACUAUGUAGAGCCAUCCUUUUCUAACUCUGUAGUGCACUUCUGCCAUGGCUGGAGCUUCCGGGCCAGCACACACAAGCCAGCUCUCAACUUCCAGACCAAUGACAGGGAGGCAUGAUUCAGAUAAAUCCAGUAGAUGAUUGGCCAUUUGGGUCAGAAUCACCAGCCUCUUUCAGAGGUAAAGCUGUUAUGGAGUGUCCCUUUUUCUUUGGCAGGGUCUCAGCUGCCCAGCUAAGGUGGGUUAUGUCUACACUGAGAGUGGCAUAGCCCAUGCCAGGAGAAAUGAGCUCUGUCCUUGACUUACCCGAGGUUCUGGCACACAUGCAGCAAACAAGGCUCCUGACUGCCUCUGGAUAAGCCAUUUCACUUCUCUGGACCUCAGUUUUCUCUUUAUGAGAAAUAUGGAGGUUGAACCACAUUCCUUUUCAUCUGGAUCAUUGUUGAUGGUAUCAGAACAAAAGCUGAUGCCUCUUCAUAUUAUCUCUGUGAAAAGAUAAAAAAGGUGUUAUAACUCCUUCACUCUCUAACAUCAACAUGCAUCUGUGUGUGCAAGAGUACACACACACACACAUACAUACACACACUUGUCCUGGCAUCAUUUGUGCAAAGAAUCUCCUUUUUUUUUUUUUUUNNNNUUUUUUUUUUUUUUUUUCUUUUUUUUUGGCUUUUUAGGGCCAAACCUGUGGCAUAUGAAAGCUCCCAGACUAGAGGUCAAAUCGGAGCUACAUUUGCUGGGCUAUGCCACAGCCACAGCCACUUGGGAUCCAAGCCCUGACUUUGAUCUACACCACAGCUCACAGCAACACCAGAUCCUUAAGCCACUGAGCCAGGCCAGGGAUUGAACCUGCAUCCUCAUGGAUAUUAGUUGUUACCACGUGUGUGUGUGUGUGUGUGUGUAAAACUCGGUCACUUUGCUGCAUACCUGAAACUAACACACCAUUGCAAAUCAACCAUACUUCAAUAAUAAACAAAUAAAUAUUCAAAUAGAAAUGUAAAACAGCUUACCGAAUCUUCCUCUGGCAGUCUGACCUAAUACUGCAUGUUCCCAGGUAGUGGUCCUGAGUAGGUACUGGAUCCCCCCAGUGCCUGGCACUAUAGGCAAUGACCAGCUGACUUUGAGUGGCCUUUAAGGGUUGAUUCUAUUGAUCAGGUUAUCAGGGCUGGCUGCAAAUAUCACCUCAAUAAAAAUCUCCGCAGAGCCCAGAGAUUGUGAAGCCUUAUGAAUGCCUACUUAAUAAAGCAAUUUUUGGGAGUCAACCAUCCAGUUAAUAAGAACAUUCAGCUGUGUCUUUAACAGCAUUUGUUAAUUUCUUUUCUCCUUGGGUUGAUAAAGAUCUGGUGGGGCCUUACCCAUCUCUAGAAUUCAGAUCCAACUUGUUUUUUGUUUUGUUUUGUUUUUUUCUCCCCUAGAGAGCUUAUGUUUUUACUAGCUAGAAAAACUGAUGAGAUCAAAGGUUAUUCUUAUUGGUAAUUUAUUGAGGAGAGAGAGCUGAUUAAAAAGCAAAGAGAGAGGGGUUUAGCUCACACACAUACACACAGACAUAAAUGCCACCUCCACCCUCCUGCUUUGCAGCCCCUACCAUGGGGGCCUCUGGACACAUUUGCAUUGAGCAGGACAAAUGGCCUAUUUUCACUCAGCUGGACUCAGCUGCCUCCCACGUGCCGCUGCCUGGCUGCCUGCUCAUUGUUCUUCAGGCUUCCAGCAGCAGGAGGCAGGGGACAUGUGGAACCACUCUCACCCUCUGGCCCCAAAUCCUGGCCCUUUUUCAUCACACCACACACCCUUUCCAAGAACCUGAAUGGGAAUCCCCCGACCUCCCCUCUGAUCACUCAUUAAUCUACCCCUUCAGCCUUUUGGCUGGUCUCGCCCAGCCCCUCUCCAUCAACACCCCCACCUCCGGGAGGAAAACUUUCAAAGUGGAAUCACUUCUUGUGAGCAGUAAGGACAAUUCAAGAAGGCAGACCACCGUCUAGUGGCAUCUGAGUGUUGAAAACUUAAAGCUCCAUGCCUCGACCUUGUGAAUGUCCUGAAAUUUGGGAGGAGUGGACAUAUACCCAUUGGGAGGCUACCUUAAGCCAGCCCCUCAGACUUGUCUUUAUGCCCUUACGGGGUUCCCUGGUGGCUCGGUGGGUUAAGGACCAGCGUUAUCACUCCCGGGACGUGGGUUUGAUCCCUGGCCCAGGAACUUCUGCAUGCAAUGGCUGAGAUCAGAAGAAAGAGAGAGAGAGAGAGAGAGAGAGAGAGAGAGAGAGAGAGAGAGAGAGAACCUACCCUUAAAGAGACGUUGCUGAGUUGGCUUUCACCUUUAAGAAGUUGCCUUUCUAGUUGGGAAGAUAAAACAUGACCACGUGAAGAGGAAGUAAAUUAUGAAUUGCAACGGAACACAACAGCAUCAGAGGAGGAAAGGUGAAUUUCAAAGCCAAAAGACUCAGGAACAUCUUGAAUGAGGAAGUGGGAUUUGAUUUGAGCCUUAAAGGAUUGGCGAGAUUUGCACAAAUAGGGUGGGGAGAGAGAGCAGUGGUUUGAAUAACGAGGAGGCAGGAAUGUGAGAAAGAACAGCAUGUAAAUACAGGACAGCAACUAUAGUGUCACUGGGCAGAGGGUUGGCUCAGGUGCUGAGCCAGUGCCGAACGAACCUGGGAAGCUAAGAGAGGUUGGGAGUGGAAAAAAGGGUUCAAGAGACCUUUAUUUCUCCCCUUCUCUGACUGCCGUUGGACAAAGAGUCAUUUGCAGCAUCGCUAUUUCUGAGAUAGGAACACUUCCCUUUAGUCUCUCAGGAUGAUGUGAUGGGGGUGACGAAGACGCCGUCUGUAAAGCACUUAAGAAAUAAGCAGCCUGUUCCAAAUAAGAAAGCAAGCCCCUUAUUGUUUUAAACCGAGCCUUCUCUGUUUAAUGAAGCAGCUUCUCACCUAAGCUGCUCCCUGGGUGUUUACUAGGCAGUUUAGGAAGCAGCGGGAAUCUCUGCCAGGCCCCAGGCUACCAUUUAGCACACUGGAGCAGCAACUUCUGGAAUGGUCCCCCAGCGGCCUGAUGGGGUCCUGUUCUCUGUGAGGUGUCCAUUUGACUCCCAGGGAAAGGGCUGGCUCAACAGUUAUAAUCAAGCAUGCACAGCGCGUGAGAUGCUGAACAGAGUACAUGCUUAUCGUGGCCCUUUUAUGUUUCAGGGAACAGAGCGCAAGCCUGGGGAGGGGGCAUGUUUCUGGCAAUUCGGAGAGCUCGGAGCUGGGGUUGUCUGGCACAGGGAGACUUCAGGAUGCAGAAGUCAAUGUACCAAAUUCUUACUGCUUCAGCCGCCAGAUGUGGAUUUCAUUUUUGACUCUUCCAUGUGCCGCAUUGCCAGUGUGAAACCCUCGAGAAAAGGAGGUGCAAGGUUAUUUUUGAGGGGACCACCUCCACGCCUGUUCUCUGCCCUGCUCUAUGUUGCGUGUGAGGCCAUAGACGCAUCUGAGCACUGAAACCAGAGCAAAGAACUCAUACACGUUUGCCUUUGUCUUUUAAACGGAAAAACAUCUUCAAAUGUUUUAUAAGGACAUGUCCUUAAUAGUACCAUCCUAGCUUAUUCUCCAAACCAUCACACUUUUUAAAAAAAGUUUUAAUGGGAAUAAAAGCUGAGUUUUUAGUAGACCCAAGCAACCAUUUUCAUUCUCAUUUCCUGGACAUGGGUUCACUGCUUUGGCAGCUUUCCUCAAAGUCUACUGUCAGUGGACAUACACAGAGUAACCUCCUCCCUUUUUUCACCUAUAGGUCUGGGAAAUGCAAGUUUAUAGGCAUUCUCCAUAGAGAAGAGAAUUGAAGGUGUGAAUACUUUCUACUGAACUAAAGAGAACAUUUUUUUCUUUUUUUUUUCUUUUUAGGGCUGCUCCUGUGGCAUAUGGAGGUUCCCAGGCUAGGGAUUGAAUCUGAGCUCCAGCUGCUGGCUUACACCACAGCCACAGCAACUCGGGAUCCUCGCUGCAUCUGUGACCUACACCACGGUUCACAGCAAUGCUGGAUCCUUCACCCAUUGAGCAAGGCCAGAGAUCGAACCUGCAUCCUCAUGGAUGCUAGUAGGAUUCUUAACCCCCUGAGUCGCAAUGGGAAUUCCUGCAGAGAACAUUUUAAAUAAAGGUAAUAGGCAACUGUAAGGUCUUUAAGCCUGUUUCUCCCAGCGGGGGUCCAGGAAGGGCAGGCAUUGGACACUGUUGGCCUCCCAGGUGGAAGCUGCCUCCCUCUUCCUUGCCUCCUGGAUCCUGGGAGGCAACAGGACUCACUCCAAAGUGCCCCAACAGAGUCAGUAGGCUGAUGAUGAGAAGCUGCCCCCGACACAUGCAGAUCUUGGAACGUGUCAAUCUUGAAUCUGGUUAUUGGGACGAAGAUGAGGGGUGAAGGAUGGAAAUAAUUACAUGAUAGCAGCUUCAGGGUGAUAAGGUCCCCCGAAGUGCCUCUCUUCCCCUGUUUUUAGCCCAAGAGUACUAUAGGGUCCCAUAUUCUAGGACAGAGCAAUUGCGUAGAGAUCUUUAUUGGACUUCUCUCCUCCACCAUCCCUUUUCCUCAGCAACCCCCAGCACUAGGGAGAAAAAUAUUCAACCAGUAAAGCUCCAUGUUCAUUCCCCAGGCAGAGAGAAGACCUCACAGCUGAUGCCACAGAUACUUUCAGAGAGAAGGACUAACACAAAUGCCAACUGAAGUUGAAGGUCAGGGUGCCUUUAUUGCUGACCUGAGAUUUCCUUCAUCCAGUCCUGAGAUUUCCCCCAGUGACGUUUUGCCACAUGGGGAGAUUCUUCAAAAGCCACUAUGGUACCACCUGGCCGGAUGCUGGAGCUUCUGAAACCAACUCAGACUGAAGGGAUUCUGCUGUGAGUCAGCCUAUCUCAGUUCUUGAAGAGAAGCUUUGGGAGGUCAUUUCCAGUUUUUCAGAGUUCCCAAAUGGGCUUGUUCUGCUCUGGGGUAUUUUGAAAUCUCAUAAAUACUUCUUUGGCAGUGCUUGUGAAACAAAUAGCAGUGGUAACCCAUCAUUGGGUCCUGGUUAAUACUGAAAGAGAGAGAAACAGAGACAGAGAGAUGAGGAGGAGGUAGGGGAGGAGGAAGAGGAGGAGAAGAAAAAGAAAGAUUGGAGUUCCUGUCGUGGUUACGAAUCCGACCAGGAACCAUGAGGUUGCGGGUUUGAUCCCUGCCCUUGCUCAGUGGGUUAAGGAUCCACUGUUGCCGUGAGCUGUGGUGUAGGUCACAGACGUGGCUCGGAUCCUGUGUUGCUGUGGCUGUGGUGUAGGCUGGUGGCUAUAGUUCCGAUUUGACCCCUAGCCUGGGAAGCUCCAUAUGCUGUGGGAUGUGGCCCUAGAAAAGGCAGAAAG